rnacentral:rRNA from 1 species
UAGGGAAUAUUGGGCAAUGGGCGCAAGCCUGACCCAGCCAUGCCGCGUGCAGGAAGAAGGCGUUAUGCGUUGUAAACUGCUUUUAUACAGGAAGAAAAAGGCCAUGCGUGGCAAACUGACGGUACUGUAUGAAUAAGCACCGGCUAACUCCGUGCCAGCAGCCGCGGUAAUACGGAGGGUGCAAGCGUUGUCCGGAUUUAUUGGGUUUAAAGGGUGCGUAGGCGGUUUUUUAAGUCAGCGGUGAAAGACU